UGCGUAGGCGGGCUAAUAAGUCAGUGGUGAAAUCUCUCGGCUCAACCGGGAAACUGCCAUUGAUACUGUUAAUCUUGAGUUCGGUUGAGGUAGGCGGAAUGUGUAAUGUAGCGGUGAAAUGCUUAGAUAUUACACAGAACACCAAUUGCGUAGGCAGCUUACUAGACCGACACUGACGCUGAGGCACGAAAGCGUGGGUAGCGAACAGGAUUAGAUACCUGGUAGUCC
rnacentral:rRNA from 1 species